GAGGCUCUGACAGGGUCCUAGAGCCUUCCCACUUCCUUCCCAAAGCCUUGUUAGCACUUUCCAAGCUUUGGGAAGGAUGUGGGUGGGCUCUAGGACUCUGUCAGAACCCUUGCAUCUC